rnacentral:rRNA from 1 species
CGGGACGGGUGAGUACCACGUGGGAACCUACCCUAAGGUGAGGAAUACCGGCGAGAAAUCGCCGACAAGACCGCAUAGCCUUCUUGCUCUUGCGAGAGAGAAGGAAAGUCCUUUCGGGGACGCCUUGGGAUGGGCCUGCGCCCGAUUAGCUAGUUGGUGGGGUAAAAGCCUACCAAGGCGACGAUCGGUAGCUGGUCUGAGAGGAUGAUCAGCCACACUGGGAUUGAGAACGGCCCAG